rnacentral:rRNA from 1 species
AUUGAACGCUGGCGGCAGGCCUAACACAUGCAAGUCGAGCGGAUGAAGGGAGCUUGCUCCUGGAUUCAGCGGCGGACGGGUGAGUAAUGCCUAGGAAUCUGCCUGGUAGUGGGGGAUAACGUCCGGAAACGGGCGCUAAUACCGCAUACGUCCUGAGGGAGAAAGUGGGGGAUCUUCGGACCUCACGCUAUCAGAUGAGCCUAGGUCGGAUUAGCUAGUUGGAGGGGUAAAGGCCUACCAAGGCGACGAUCCGUAACUGGUCUGAGAGGAUGAUCAGUCACACUGGAACUGAGACACGGUCCAGACUCCUACGGGAGGCAGCAGUGGGGAAUAUUGGACAAUGGGCGAAAGCCUGAUCCAGCCAUGCCGCGUGUGUGAAGAAGGUCCUCGGAUUGUAAAGCACUUUAAGUUGGGAGGAAGGGCAGUAAGUUAAUACCUUGCUGUUUUGACGUUACCAACAGAAUAAGCACCGGCUAACUUCGUG